rnacentral:sRNA from 1 species
UUACCAAUCCUGCAGAUUGAAGUCCUUUAUCUAUCUAUAGAGGAGAUACAGCAUGUGCAAUAGCAGUUCAGGCUUCACCACACAGCUACCAAUGUGUCCUUGAUCUCAAAGGACCUCCCCUAACAGUGAGCAUAGCUUAGUUUCCCUCUCCAUUAGUACUUUGGCCACU